rnacentral:tRNA from 1 species
GCCCGGAUAGCUCAGUCGGUAGAGCAUCAGACUUUUAAUCUGAGGGUCCAGCACUCGAGUCCCUGUUUGGGCG